AUAUUUACCGAGCUCUGCCCUUCACUGAAAUAACAAGUUAGUGAGUGGGUAAAGGAAUGAGUAGAACUGCAAUGUCUGAGCUGGAAGGCUCCAGGACGGCUGUGUGAUUUGAAGAAGGGGCUUUCUGCACCUCACGGGGGCCAUUAGCUGUGGCAGAGGCCAUGCGGGGACCCAGCCUCUUCGCCCCCUGCCUGGCAGCUGUGACCACGCUGGCUGCGUCUCCGCUCACUCACAGUCACUGUCACUGUGUGCCUCUCCUGGGCCUGCCCCAGGCUGAGCUCUUCUGAGGCGAACAGGAAAAGAGCCCAGGGUCCCUGCCCUGUCUCUCCUACAGGGACACGGGGAGGUGGCCUGGCAGAGCGCAUCUGGGCUUUGGGCCCUCCCGUCUUGCCUGCUGUGCUGCGCCAUCCCCUGGACUCGGGCCCAGCUCUCUCUGUCCCUUGGAGGGAGUGCCAGGGGCACAGGGCGGGCCGGGAGGAAGGGCCCUGGGCCGGGUCAUUUCCUGACACACUUGUUUGCCACAUGCUCCUUGCUUCUGGUGAGUUUCCUCCCUGCCCAUGGCCUCCUGGCUGAGUCCUCCCACCAGCCUCGGCCUCUGCUAUCCCUUGGCAGGCAGAACCCUGCCCUUGGAGCCUGGCAGACCCCAUAAGGGUCCUUCUCCCCAGUGCUGUGUGUCUUGGGGAUGCCACAAACCCAGGCCAGGCCUCUGUCUGUCUCCUCUUCUGGAAAGGGUAGAACACGACUAACCUCCCAGGCUUGUUGUGAAGAGGAAAGGAGACAUAGACAUAAAGGGCCUAGCACCAUGAGACUCCCAAUAGAACUGAGACUCCUUUUCUUUUUUUUUGGUACCAGGGAUCAAGCUCUGGUCCUUGUGCUUGCAAGGCAGGUGGCGGAAACACUGAGCUAAAUCCCCAGCCCUCUUUUUUUAAAAAAAUAAAUUUUACUUUAUUUUAUCCCAUUCUCCCCCUCCAUCCCCCUGGGACUCCUUUUUUUUUUUUUUUUUUUUUUUGGUACUGGGGAUCGCACUCAGGACCUUGCGCUUUUGAGGCAGGCACCAGAACCACUGAGCUAAAUCCCCAGCCCUACCUGGGACUCCUUUUCUCAGUCUGCUUCUCUCUAGGUGCUUCCUCCGGGAAGUCUUCCAGGAUGCCCACUUUCUUCUGACUCCUUGUCCCUGGACUCUGGGCUGCUUCCCAUGUCUGGCCUCAGUUUACCCCCUACAAGCCUGAGAGCCCACAUGAUUACCACCUCUUUGCAAAUAAAGGAAGGGAGGCUGAGAGCCUCCCUGAGUGCUGGGAUUCCAGGUGUGCACCACCACAUGCUGGCUUGAACUUGGCAUCUUCGUGUCCGAUUUAAAGAUGAAACUGUAUCCAGCCUGGCCGGAGUCCACAUCCCGCACUUGGGAGACACUGGCCUGGGUAGCUUCUCAUCCCUCUCCUCGGCAGUGCGGAGAGUCACCCUCAGCAGAGAUGUCGGGAGAAGUUCAAGAAUUAAAUUCUGAGCAAGUCUAGAGGUAGGAUGGACAAUUAUUUUACAGCGGCCUCAGCGACUUGGACAAAUUCCUUGAUGACUUUGAACAGAGCCCCUUGGAUUAUCUCCAACAUGUUCGGAACGCAUGUGAUUCUAACCGCCGUUCAGUUCCUUCAGAGGUGGCUCUGUCACAGCCACCUUUACUGCUACCACAGGACGGGCAAUGUGCUGGUAGUUAGGCCACCUCAGAAACAUGCGAGGAAGCAAACGAGAUUUCCUUCAGUGAAAAAGCACUCCAGGGACUAACUUCUCUACAAAAUGAGAAAAAUGUAACAGGACCGGAUCUCCUUUCUUCCAUGGAUGGUGGGGCUUCAGAUGAUGUCCAGCCUUCAUACGUGAGAUGUAAUAAACCUGUCCGUGACCUGAGAAGUGACACGGAUGGAAAAUCAAGGCAGGAGCACGAGGGUAACUCGCCCAAGGUGAGAAGACAAGAGACAACUGGCACACACCUGGCACUCACCUGGUCCCCAGCCACGCUUCAUGCUCAGAAGCCGCCUGUAUGGAGAACUGACAUUGUCACAUUCCAGCCGGGAAAACGUCACCCAAACCAUGCCCCGCCUCUUCUGCCUUUCUUCUCCCUCAAGCUCCCAAGGACAGACCUGUGUUUGCCCACCCAGGAAGCCUCCCACCUGCAGCUGAACACUUGGCUCACUCUGUUGCUGUGCUCACCUGCAGGGGCAGAUGGACCCGUCCCAGGUUUCAUUCAGAUGUCAAGACAAGCCUGGUGCCCUGGCACAUGCCUAUCAUCCUAGCACUUGGGAGGCUGAGGCAGGAGGAUCACUGUGAGUUCAAGGCCAGCCUGGACUACAUAGCAAGACCC
rnacentral:lncRNA from 1 species